ACAGCGAUGGUCAGCUGUGGGAAUGGUACGUCCCAGGGCUGGAGAUGUCGCUGGGGA
ensembl:miRNA gmo-mir-11233 gmo-mir-11233